GAUGAACGCUGGCGGCGUGCCUAAUACAUGCAAGUCGAGCGAACAGACGAGGAGCUUGCUCCUCUGACGUUAGCGGCGGACGGGUGAGUAACACGUGGAUAACCUACCUAUAAGACUGGGAUAACUUCGGGAAACCGGAGCUAAUACCGGAUAAUAUAUUGAACCGCAUGGUUCAAUAGUGAAAGACGGUUUUGCUGUCACUUAUAGAUGGAUCCGCGCCGCAUUAGCUAGUUGGUAAGGUAACGGCUUACCAAGGCAACGAUGCGUAGCCGACCUGAGAGGGGGAGCGGACACACUGGAAGUGAGACACGGGCCAGACUCGGACGGGAGGCAGCAGUAGGGAAUCUUGCGCAAUGGGCGAAAGCCUGACGGAGCAACGCCGCGUGAGUGAUGAAGGUCUUCGGAUCGGAAAACUCUGUGAUGAGGGAAGAACAAAUGGGUAAGUAACUAUGCACGUCUGGACGGUACCUAAUCAGAAAGCCACGGCUAACUACGUG
rnacentral:rRNA from 1 species